rnacentral:lncRNA from 1 species
ACUGAUUGUAACCCAAUACUUGAAAAUUCCAUGGCGGUGCUAAAAGUAGUUCUUCGAACUUCUGAGCAUAUCCUUUAAUUACAAUAAGCAGGACAUAUUUGAAAGAGUAAUCUUGCCAACGCUAUGUAGUUUUGUUUCUUCUCCUUUUAAAAGUUGUUUAAUUACACGCAUUAACAUUAAAAAAAAAAAAAAAAUUGGCCGUCACAUGCGUUAAACUAUAUAUAAAUUAUAUUUUAUCAAUCGUGACACGUUUAUUUAGCACUUUUAAGAAAUCGUGUCCACAGGCAUGGAUGGUUUCUCGUCUGUCUUCCUCCCUCAUGGUCACGAGGUUCAUAAAUGCGUUUCAAGUGCCCGACCAAUUAAUUGUUUACAGAGAAAUCAUAACUAAAAAUCAUAUUACAGGUGAUAUAUAGACAUGUGGCAACAGAAAAUAUGACCUCGUUCUGUGAUUUCGAUCCAUGCAGCGACGCACGUGGAAACCAUUUAUAGAAGGAGAUGAUCGGCAGUGACACCCCCGAGCGUAGAUGCUUUGCAGUGACAAGUUGCCGCACAUGAUCACUAGUUGUGAAAUCCACUGCAGAUCAUGAGCAUUAACCAAUAAUUGUCAGGAGUUCAUUUGGAAACUAUGACCGGAUUAUUGGGCAUGGCUGAAAAAAUCAAUUCAAACUAUGUAUGAUUUAGCUGUGGCCUGUAGGUAAUUUAACUUGCAGCUAACUAUUGGCUGGGCGGCCACAUGAAUCAUGUUAUCUACUUAAAUUCUAGACCUAACCUUAUCGGUUUGUUUCUAUUGAAGUAGUGUACGUACCUGUCAGGUGUCACUACUCUUAUCUGUCUCUUCUCUCUCCGUGGGUCACAUGUAUAUUACUGAUUA